rnacentral:misc_RNA from 1 species
AAGUCGUAACAAGGUCUCCGUUGGUGAACCAGCGGAGGGAUCAUUACAGAGUGUAAAAACUCCUAAACCCUUUGUGAACAUACCACUGUUGCCUCGGCGGAGCUACCCGGUAGCUACCCUGUAGCUACCCUGUAGCCGCCGGCGGACCAUUCAACUCUGAUUAUGUAGAUAUCUGAGCGUACUUUUAAAUAAGUCAAAACUUUCAACAACGGAUCUCUUGGUUCUG